GGCGAACGGGUGAGUAACACGUGGAUGAUCUGCCCUGCACUUCGGGAUAAGCCUGGGAAACUGGGUCUAAUACCGGAUAGGAGCCAUUUUUAGUGUGAUGGUUGGAAAGUUUUUCGGUGUAGGAUGAGCUCGCGGCCUAUCAGCUUGUUGGUGGGGUAAUGGCCUACCAAGGUGGCGACGGGUAGCCGGCCUGAGAGGGUGGACGGCCGCAUUGGGACUGAGAUACGGCCCAG
rnacentral:rRNA from 1 species